GAUAUGUGGAAAGAUUUUGACUCCCGUGUACUGCGGUAUAAGGUACUUCCACCAUUAUGUGCAGAACUUAGGAAUAUGGUGAUGCAGCCAAUGAUUCUUCCAAUGGUUCUCACAAUAGCAGAGUCUCAGGAUAAAAAUGAUUUUGAGCUAUCAACACUUCCAGCUCUCAUUCCUGUCCUGAAUACUGCUGCUGGCGAGACACUACUGCUGCUUGUAAAACGUGCUGAAAUCAUUAUCAACAAGACGACUCAGGAGAACUUAAUAUCCCAUGUCUUGCCAUUGCUCGUUCGAGCUUAUGAUGAUACUGAUCCGCGCAUUCAAGAGGAAGUCCUGAAAAAAUCUUCAUCUCUUGCUAAGCAACUUGAUGUUCAGCUAGUGAAACAUUCAAUUUUGCCUCGUGUCCAUGGAUUAGCACUAAAAACAACCGUUGCUGCGGUAAGAGUCAAUGCUCUGCCACAAAUUCUAGGGGGAUCUUGUUCACAAACUAGAUAAACAUGCUGUUCUGGAAAUCUUGCAAACACUUCAACGUUGUACAGCUGUUGACCGUUCUGCUCCUACCCUUAUGUGUACCCUUGGGGUUGCAAAUUCAAUUUUUAAGCAGUAUGGAGUAGAAUUUGU
rnacentral:misc_RNA from 1 species